rnacentral:misc_RNA from 1 species
AUUCCAUUAAAAAAAAAAUCAACUGUGCUAUAAAAGCUAGUUGGCAACUGCAAGAACUACUGCAAUAAAUUCAAGAGCCAUGGUUUUUCCUUCAAAUUAUGAAAAUGGCUAAUGAAUCCAAGAUCCAUCAUACACAAUCACUAAUCAUAUCACUAAUGAAUCAACUCUCUUUUACACAAUUUGGGCACAAAUUGUAUACUUUUAGACAAAAGAAACCAGUAUAAUUACAAAAAUGAUACAAAUUCCUACACCAACUACGGUACUGUGGCCGUUGAGCUUUGCUGAACUAGAGGAGCUCUUCCCUAUAAACUCACCUGAGCUGGGCACAGGUGCCAAUUCCUCUGGUAUUGGUGGAUCUGCAGAACUUGGAGGCCACUGAUCAGUUGGUGUAGGGAAAAAAGAGGACAUAUCGGGUGCAGUUACAUAUGGCAAGACUGCUGGAGAAGCUGUAAUCAUAGGAUCACUAGAAAGAGCAAGAAGCACAUUAGAGAAGAGGAUAACCACUGACAUUGCAGCAACGGCAGAAGCAGAAGCAAAGAACUUUUUGAAGGUAGCCAUGAAUGUUGCUGGAAAUGAACUCUAGCUGUGAUGACUGAUGAUGAGGAAGAGAGAGCUAGUUUAUAAGUGAAAUGGUGAAGGAAAAAGAUGGGAAUUCACGUAUUAGUUGCGCAUCACGGGAUAAGCAGUAGGAGAUUUAAUUGUGCCCUGACUUUGUUAGCCUCAGCCUUUAUGGCCUUAUUUAAAAAGAACCCAUCAACCAUUCGUUUUCUCUUUGAAUUUUG